rfam:Phage BP-4795 complete genome
CGAUAAAAAUGACAAUGCAAGUAUCUCAUGCUGUUGCCCGAACCCACUCGGGCUUUUUUU